rnacentral:lncRNA from 1 species
ACUCAGUUUUAAUACUCCUUCACUUUCCUCUCCCAUCUCUGUCCAGACUAAGAAAUCUCUUCAGCAUCAAAAUCCUGGCUGAUAAAUGGAUUACACUGGCAGAUGUCUCUCUACUGGUCAUCUUUCAGUCACCUAUCAGAAAAGUCACUAAAGCACCUCUCUCGUUGCACCUUCCCGUUUGUCUGCGUUUUGUCCCUGGUACUGCUGCAGGUAAUCAUGGCCAUGGCUGCUCCAAACACUCCUGUUUAUGCAUGGUGAUGGUAACACUAUCGCUGGUGGCUGAUGCCUGCCGUUGCCAAAGCCAACCGCACUGAGCGCCGGGCGAAGCUGACUGCUCCAGGAUGCAACGCCCACGGGGUCAAGCCAGCUUCGGUACGUUGGUGGGCUGCAGACCGUGGUGCAAGGAAAUGCUGAAACAAGACAUCAGUGGCGGGCUGUGUGCAGGAGACCUGGCAGGGACCAGGAGCAAGCCGUGUCAUGAGAGGUGUGAGGGACUAUCUCCAAAUGGGCUAAUGCACCAUAUGAUGAGGAGUGCAAGCGUGCUGUAAAAAAAAGGUGCUGACACAGGGUUAUUUCUGUCCUGUUAUCUCUGUGUCUACCUUCUCUUAGUCAUGGUAUUUCAGGUAUGUAUCAGGGGAGCCUUGGACUGCUUCAUCUGUAUGUACAAAUCACAUGAAUGUGGUUUUUUUCAGAUCAGCUGUUGGUAUUAUAUAGUACUGAGCAAACCUCAUGUGCUUGUUUUCUGUUUCACUUUCUGAGUCUUGGGACA